UGCCCGGUGGUGUAAUUGGUAACACACCAGAAUUUGGGUCUGGGUUUUCUGGUUCGAGUCCAGACCGGGCAG
rnacentral:tRNA from 1 species